rnacentral:rRNA from 1 species
GUUGGGUUAAGUCCCGCAACGAGCGCAACCCUUAAUGUUAGUUGCCAUCAUUAAGUUGGGGCACUCUAGCGAGACUGCCGGUGAAAAACCGGAGGAAGGUGGGGAUGACGUCAAAUCAUCAUGCCCCUUAUGACCUGGGCUACACACGUGCUACAAUGGACAGUACAAUGAGCAGCGACACGGCGACGUGAAGCGAAUCUCAUAAAGCUGUUCUCAGUUCGGAUUGUAGGCUGCAACUCGCCUACAUGAAGCCGGAAUCGCUAGUAAUCGCGGAUCAGCACGCCGCGGUGAAUACGUUCCCGGGCCUUGUACACACCGCCCGUCACACCACGAAAGUUUGUAACACCCGAAGUCGGUGAGGUAACCGCAAGGAGCCAACCGCCUAAGGUGGGAUAGAUGAUUGGGGUGAAGUCGUAACAAGGUAACCAAGGGCGAAUUCUG